CCUACGGGAGACAGCAGUGAGGAAUAUUGGUCAAUGGCCGUAAGGCUGAACCAGCCAAGUCGCGUGAAGGAAGAAGGAUCUAUGGUUUGUAAACUUCUUUUAUAGGGGAAUAAAGGUAUCCACGUGUGGAUAUUUGCAUGUACCCUAUGAAUAAGCAUCGGCUAACUCCGUGCCAGCAGCCGCGUUAAUACGGAGGAUGCGAGCGUUAUCCGGAUUUAUUGGGUUAAAGGGGUGCGUAGUUGUUUUUUAAGUCAGCGGUGAAAGUGUGUGGCUCAACCAUAAAAUUGCCGUUGAAACUGGAAGACUUGAGUGUAUUUGAGGUAGGCGGAAUGCGUGGUGUAGCGGUGAAAUGCAUAGAUAUCACGCAGAACUCCGAUUGCGAAGGCAGCUUACUAAGCCAUAACUGACACUGAGGCACGAAAGCGUGGGGAUCAAACAGGAUUAGAUACCCGGGUAGUC
rnacentral:rRNA from 1 species